GAUUUCACAAGUUGAAUUCUUUCCAGUAGCUAGCUCAACAUUUUUGGAAACUCACCUCCCAUUAGCUAGUUCAUAACGGUCAACCUGAGGCUUGAUGUUUAUCUUUGACUUGGCAUUUUUCUCCAGCCACGCAACCUGAAUCUCGCAGUCAAAGUGUCCAAUGUUACACACAAUCGCAUCCUCAGGCAUUUUGAGGAAAUGCUCGCCAACAAUGAUGUCUUUGCAUCCUGUUGUCGUCACAUAAACCUGACCUUUCUCCGAAGCCUCAUCCAUUGUUGUCACCUAUAAAAUAAAGUACAGCCUUCCAUAGCUGCUUGGAGGGCAUUGAUAGGAUCGAUUUCCGUAAUUAUAACACGCCCUCCUAACGCCCGGAGACUCUGUGCACACCCUUUCCCAACGUCACCGUAUCCAGCGACAACGCAAACUUUUCCAGCAAGCAUCACGUCAGUAGCUCUCUUGAUACCAUCUAUAAGCGACUCUCUGCAUCCAUACAGGUUAUCGAAUUUACUCUGAAAAUAUAAAGCAG
rnacentral:misc_RNA from 1 species